rnacentral:rRNA from 1 species
GACGAACGCUGGCGGCGUGCUUAACACAUGCAAGUCUAACGGCAAGGCCCUGCUUUUGUGGCGUGCUCGUGUGGCGCACGUGUGCGUCACACGUUAUUAACCUGCCCUUGCCUUUGGGAUAACUUCAUGAAACUGCGUCUAAUCCCGGCUUGGAGCUCCUGCUGCAUGGUGCGGGUUGGCACGUUUCGGCGGUUGGGGAUGGACUCGCGGCUUAUCAGCUUGUUGGUGGGGUAGUGGCUUACCAAGGCUUGGACGGGUAGCCGGCCUGAGAGGGUGACCGGCGAGAGUGGGACUGAGAUACGGCGCAGACUACUACGGGAGGAAGCAGUGGGGAAUAUUGAAGAAUGGGCGGAAGCCGGAUGCAGGAAGGCGGCGUGCGGGAUGAUGGAAUUCGGGGUGGAAACCGAUGAAGGCUGGGACGAAGCGCGAGUGACGGUAAUGGGUAAAGAAGCACCGGCUAACUACGUG